CACGUAGGGGGCGAGCGUUGUCCGGAUUCAUUGGGCGUAAAGGGCGCGCAGGCGGCCCGGAAAGUCGGAUGUGAAAACUCGAGGCUCAACCUCGAGCGUGCACCCGAUACUGCCGGGCUUGAGGCAGGUAGGGGAGAUCGGAAUUCCUGGUGUAGCGGUGAAAUGCGCAGAUAUCAGGAGGAACACCAAUGGCGAAGGCAGCUCGCUGGGACGGUACUGACGCUGAGACGCGAAAGCGUGGGGAGCAAACAGG
rnacentral:rRNA from 1 species